rnacentral:rRNA from 1 species
UGAUGUGUUCUAUGUGCCUUGUAAAGUCUUGAUCUUGUCAGAUCUCAGAUGCUAAGCACAGCUGGGCCUGGUUAGUACUUGGAUGGGAGACCGCUGGGAACACAAGGUGCCACAGUGG